UACGGGGGGAGCAAGCGUUGUUCGGAUUUACUGGGCGUAAAGGGCGCGUAGGCGGCCAGCACAAGUCAGUUGUGAAAUCUCCGAGCUUAACUCGGAAAGGUCAACUGAUACUGUGCGGCUAGAGUGCAGAAGGGGCAACUGGAAUUCUUGGUGUAGCGGUGAAAUGCGUAGAGAUCAGGAAGAACACCGGUGGCGAAAGCGCUCUGCUAGGCCGCAACUGACACUCAUGGACGAAAGCUAGGGGAGCGAAUGGG
rnacentral:rRNA from 1 species